ACGAACGCUGGCGGCGUGGAUAAGACAUGCAAGUCGAACGAGAGAAUUGCUAGCUUGCUAAUAAUUCUCUAGUGGCGCACGGGUGAGUAACACGUGAGUAACCUGCCCCCGAGAGCGGGAUAGCCCUGGGAAACUGGGAUUAAUACCGCAUAGUAUCGAAAGAUUAAAGCAGCAAUGCGCUUGGGGAUGGGCUCGCGGCCUAUUAGUUAGUUGGUGAGGUAACGGCUCACCAAGGCGAUGACGGGUAGCCGGUCUGAGAGGAUGUCCGGCCACACUGGAACUGAGACACGGUCCAGACACCUACGGGUGGCAGCAGUCGAGAAUCAUUCACAAUGGGGGAAACCCUGAUGGUGCGACGCCGCGUGGGGGAAUGAAGGUCUUCGGAUUGUAAACCCCUGUCAUGUGGGAGCAAAUUAAAAAGAUAGUACCACAAGAGGAAGAGACGGCUAACUCUGUGCCAGCAGCCGCGGUAAUACAGAGGUCUCAAGCGUUGUUCGGAAUCACUGGGCGUAAAGCGUGCGUAGGCUGUUUCGUAAGUCGUGUGUGAAAGGCGCGGGCUCAGCCCGCGGACGGCACAUGAUACUGCGAGACUAGAGUAAUGGAGGGGGAACCGGAAUUCUCGGUGUAGCAGUGAAAUGCGUAGAUAUCGAGAGGAACACUCGUGGCGAAGGCGGGUUCCUGGACAUUAACUGACGCUGAGGCACGAAGGCCAGGGGAGCGAAAGGGAUUAGAUACCCCUGUAGUCCUGGCAGUAAACGGUGCACGCUUGGUGUGCGGGGAAUCGACCCCCUGCGUGCCGGAGCUAACGCGUUAAGCGUGCCGCCUGGGGAGUACGGUCGCAAGAUUAAAACUCAAAGAAAUUGACGGGGACCCGCACAAGCGGUGGAGUAUGUGGCUUAAUUCGAUGCAACGCGAAGAACCUUACCUGGGCUUGACAUGUAAUGAACAACAUGUGAAAGCAUGCGACUCUUCGGAGGCGUUACACAGGUGCUGCAUGGCCGUCGUCAGCUCGUGUCGUGAGAUGUUUGGUUAAGUCCAGCAACGAGCGCAACCCCUGUUGCCAGUUACCAGCACGUGAAGGUGGGGACUCUGGCGAGACUGCCCAGAUCAACUGGGAGGAAGGUGGGGACGACGUCAGGUCAGUAUGGCCCUUAUGCCCAGGGCUGCACACGUACUACAAUGCCCAGUACAGAGGGGGCCGAAGCCGCGAGGCGGAGGAAAUCCUAAAAACUGGGCCCAGUUCGGACUGUAGGCUGCAACCCGCCUACACGAAGCCGGAAUCGCUAGUAAUGGCGCAUCAGCUACGGCGCCGUGAAUACGUUCCCGGGUCUUGUACACACCGCCCGUCACAUCAUGGAAGCCGGUCGCACCCGAAGUAUCUGAAGCCAACCGCAAGGAGGCAGGGUCCUAAGGUGAGACUGGUAACUGGGAUG
rnacentral:rRNA from 1 species